rnacentral:lncRNA from 1 species
GAGGGCAGCCAGAGGGGGAAGGCGAAGCGAAGGCUGUGGCUCCCCCCCAGCCGUUCGCAGCGGGCGCCGGCACCGCGGUACCGCCGGGAGGGUGAAGCGAGGCGCCUGGAGAAGAAACCACCUCACACACUGCUUUCUCUUUGUGCAAACUUCUGCUUUGCAUUUCCACCCAUUCAUCCUAGCGUGAAGCCUCGCACAAAAGGCAGCAAGAAAAGCCUCUGCUGCUCCGACCCUUUUGGUGUGCGUAAACCUGAACUCUCGCAAAGGGAAGCAGCGAGUCCGUGGGUUGGGAUCCAGGUGAAUGAGUGGACAGCUGGCUACAGAGGAGAGACAGAUUCUAUUUGA